GCCUGCCCAGUGACUCCUGGUUAAACGGCCGCGGUAUCCUGACCGUGCGAAGGUAGCGUAAUCACUUGUCCCUUAAAUGAGGACCCGUAUGAAUGGCACGACGAGGGCUUAGCUGUCUCCUUUCCCCGGCCAAUGAAAUUGAUCUUCCCGUGCAGAAGCGGGAAUACUGACAUAAGACGAGAAGACCCUAUGGAGCUUUAGACGCCAGAACAGACCAUGUAAUUACCUUCCCAAUAUGAGUAAAAACAAUUGGAUUCCUGUCUCCCGUCUUUGGUUGGGGCGACCACGGGGAACAAGAAAACCCCCAUGUGGACCGGGAGCACAUAUUUUCUGACUCCUAGAACCAUGAGCAACCGCUCUAAAUUACAGAAUUUCUGACCAAAAAGAUCCGGCAACGCCGAUCAACGAAUCCAGUUACCCUAGGGAUAACAGCGCAAUCCUCUUCAAGAGUCCAUAUCGAC
rnacentral:rRNA from 1 species